ACAGUUGAGCUAGGACCAUUAGUUUGUGAGAGCAAAGCGGAGGCAAAGAGUGCAUUCAAAACUCUUUUGGAAUCUGCAAAUAUUGGGUCUGAUUGCACGUGGGAUCAGGCCAUGAGAGCAGUAAUUAAUGACCAGA